UCCACGCCGUAAACGAUGAUUACUAGCUGUUGGCGAUAAACUGUCAGUGGCUAAGCGAAAGUGAUAAGUAAUCCACCUGGGGAGUACGAUCGCAAGGUUGAAACUCAAAGGAAUUGACGGGGGCCCGCACAAGCGGAGGAGCAUGUGGUUUAAUUCGAUGAUACGCGAGGAACCUUACCCGGGCUUAAAUGUAGGUUGUAUGAUGUGGAAACACAACUUCUCUUCGGAGCUACUUACAAGGUGCUGCAUGGUUGUCGUCAGCUCGUGCCGUGAGGUGUCGGGUUAAGUCCCAUAACGAGCGCAACCCUCAUUCUUAGUUGCCAGCGGAUAAUGCCGGGGACUCUAAGGAAACUGCCGGCGCAAGCCGAGAGGAAGGUGAGGAUGACGUCAAAUCAGCACGGCCCUUACGUCCGGGGCUACACACGUGCUACAAUGGUCGGUACAAAGAGCAGCUACCCCGUGAGGGGAUGCAAAUCUUAAAAGCCGGUCUCAGUUCGGAUCGGAGUCUGCAACUCGACUCCGUGAAGUUGGAUUCGCUAGUAAUCGUAUAUCAGCAAUGAUACGGUGAAUACGUUCCCGGGCCUUGUACACACCGCCCGU
rnacentral:rRNA from 1 species